rnacentral:lncRNA from 1 species
CUGGGGGGCUGGGAUAUGUGGGAAAUUUCCCUGCAUCCCCCUCAAGUUUGCUGUGAACCUAAACCCUUAAAAAGUCUCAAUAAAAAGUACUCUAUUCUGUACAUAGAAUAACAAGCCAGUUCCAGUCACUUGUGAAGAGAAAUCACUGUUAUGUGCACAGAGCACUAGUUUGGGGUCUACAUUUAAAUGUUACUCAUGAAAGAGGCAAAUUGAGGGGCAUGUUUGUAGUUUUUGGCAUGAACACUUGUCCUUUCCAGCAGGUUACAGGCCUCACGGCUAACACAUCGGCUGCACAAGCCGAGGAACCUGGGGAUCCCCCCGGACGGCGCCGAAGUCCCGCCUGCAGGGGUUGCUGGACUAAUGAUCUGUCACUUUCUGCAAACACUCAUCUCAGACCCACGAACCCACAGGGAGGGAGCAGGUGGGCCGCGGGGCCACUGGGAGCCUCGAGCUGGAUCCCGAAGGACUGGAUCCCGAGUGAACGUGCAAGUUCUCCCGCUCGGCAGAAACCCACUCGUGCUCGGGCCACCCAAACAAUCGCCAACGGAAAGUAAACCACGGUCCGCAGCCUCAAAAUCCGGAGUGCUCUGAUUCAGCGCGAGCGUAGGUUCUGGUGAGGCAGGUGAGGGGGGCCGAUCACACCUGGCUGGGCCCUGAGAGCCAUCCUGCCUCACUGGUCCCUGUGGCAGGGGCUAAAAAUCCCCCAGGAGGUGGACACCUGUGUUUGCCAAAUGUUUCCUCCUUCCUCUGGUCCCUGCUUCUGGGACUCGGAUCACAUCACGGCUCACUGGCACUGCCUUCUUUCAAUUCAUUUUAAUUUUUUCAGUAGUUUCUUCUCUGUGUUUUCCUUCGGCUAGGUUCAUUCGCUGAACCUUUAAGUUUCUGGACCCUUUCUUCUGCGAUGUCCAAUCCAUUAACUCACACGUCAGAUAUUUUAGCUUCCAUCUCUAGAAAUUCGAUUUGGUUUAAAAAAUACAGUCCACUUCUCUUCCUGACAUGCUCCUACUUUCUUUUGCCUUAGUAAACAGAGUCUCGUAACUGGUUUUCAACCCACCUACUAAUUCUAUAAUAGGUGAUGUUCCCGCAUCUGUUUCUAUUCGUUGGUUUCGUCGUCACAUACACUGGAUUCUUCCACCUCUUUGCACUCCUGGUGAUUGUUACUGAUGCCAGAACUGUAAACGUUACCCUUGCCGGGUCCUGAAUAGUUUUGACUCCUGAAACGUUCCGCAACUUUGUUCGGAGAGGCGGAGUUACUUGGCUGCAUUCUGUUCUUCUGAUGCUUCUAGAGAAGGAUCAGAGAAGCUCGUGCCGUGUUCUGGAAGCAAUGCUUUCUGACCAUUUCUCCCAAAUUCCUGUGAGCUACAAGGGUUCCCCCCCACCCGCCCCUGCCCUUAGAAAACACUCCCUCCCCGGGGGACCCACACUUCUCUUUAAAGCUUACACUUCACAGCAGUGAGGCCUUGGAAGUGGAGGGUUUGGGUACAAUCCGUGUGUGUCGUAAGAGGGAAAAGUGCAGAUGGCUGAACUGAAGAGCCCAGAGAGCAGGCAGGAUGCGGAUGUCAGGGGUUCGGAGGAAAUUCGUCCCGGGCCCCCCACCUGAACUCGAGGCAGAGACAGAUUAUGGCCUCUCACACGGGCAAAGUCCAGUAAAGAAUUCACGAAAGAUUUGAAGCUGAAGUGAGGUCAUCUGAAUAUACACCCAGUGAGUGCCAUUGGCUUAGGAUGCGGCAAAUUCUGAGAAAGACCUCCCAGGAACAAAGUGAAUAGGAAGGUAAGGCCACAAAACUUGUAUGAACUGAAAUAUGUUGUUACAUUUCUUAUGCUCAGUGCGUUUGCUUGGAACUCGGCAGCAACAUAAGGAAAUAUUUAUGAAGCACAACGUUCCAGGAGAGGGAAGAAGCGUGCGGGGGACAGACAGACACACGGUUCGGAGCCGCAUAAUUCACACUGUUCCGGGCAUAAGUCACACUGUUCCGGGUGUGAACACACCCGGAAAAGCACAGCACCCCACAGGCGUCAUAAAAAUAAAAUAUUUCUCAAAGAGUGAGAAGUAUGUGUU